rnacentral:rRNA from 1 species
GUGGGGAAUAUUGGACAAUGGGCGAAAGCCUGAUCCAGCCAUGCCGCGUGUGUGAAGAAGGUCUUCGGAUUGUAAAGCACUUUAAGUUGGGAGGAAGGGCAGUAAGUUAAUACCUUGCUGUUUUGACGUUACCGACAGAAUAAGCACCGGCUAACUUCGUGCCAGCAGCCGCGGUAAUACGAAGGGUGCAAGCGUUAAUCGGAAUUACUGGGCGUAAAGCGCGCGUAGGUGGUUUUGUAAGUUGGAGGUGAAAUCCCCGGGCUCAACCUGGGAUCUGCCACAAAAAAUGCAUGACUAGAGUACGGUAGAGGGUAGUGGAAUUUCCUGUGUAGCGGUGAAAUGCGUAGAUAUAGGAGGGAACACCAGUGGCGAAGGCGACUACCUGGGCUGAUACUGACACUGAGGUGCGAAAGCGUGGGGAGCAAACAGGAUUAGAAACCCCAGUAGUCC